ACUUUUGCAGAAAAAAACUUUUAGCAGUAAUACGUCUAUGUUCGAAUUUGCCAUUUUACAAUUGGUGGUUUUUUUGUGCAAAUCGCUGUAAAUAAGAAAUAAGACUCUCGGACUGUGUGAUGAGCUCCGAAAAUUAACACGGACUUUUAAGAAUUGCAACACUGGAGAAAUGCCAAAAGUACAAGAGAGUUUUGGAUAAUCAGGCACCUGCAGUGUUUUUGAUGUGAUGCAUGAUCUAUUCACAACCCACAACCACACCGUAACUCCUUCUCGGAAGUUUAGUCACUGAAAAAUAACAUCCGCGGCGAUUGACACCCGCCUCCCCAACCACAUGAUCAGGUUGCGGACGUGUAGGGAAGAGGCCUGAUGGUAGGUCUUUAUUCAUCGGCGACAGAGCGACGGAAAAACAAACGGGGAAAAGAGGCUGAUCGCCAUGGCCGCGUCUGAAAUUGUAGAAGAGUCUGAGGCGACAGAGCCACUGUUUAAGCAGUACAAAGUACAUGAGGUCCUCGAGAUCAAGAAGCCUCGUUUGCACAACCUGCUAGAGAAACAGCCCAUGUCUAUUGGGGCUUUUCAGACUAUAUGCGGGAUCACGAUAUAUGGACUUGGGAUUGUAACAGCUACUUCGGAAGUGGUGACUCUGGGAAUCCUGCUCAGAGUGCCAAUUCUCACCGGGAUUCUGUUUUUCUUUUCUGGAUUAUUGUCUUUCCUGCUGUACAAAUUCCCUGCAUUCCUACAGGUGAGUAGGCCUGUAUUUGUAGUUGAAAUUUAAGUAAACGGCAUUUCUCGGGAUAAUAAUAAUCUGUUUAUGGGAACAUUGGCACAUCGGGAGUACAACGGGAGGAGGGCUGGGUAAUUAGGAGACACUCGGGGAAAUCCGACGUGUUGGCAGGUAUGCUGGUUUCAGAAUUCAAGUGUAAAGGACUGCUGUGCACAAUCCUACUAUCAAUCAAAUAAAAUUUAUAUAAGUAAUAUAACGCACAAAAGCAAAGCAAGAGACGCCAAAUAAUUACCAAGGAUUCCUCAAAUAAUAUCUGUACUUUACAGAGGUUAGCAAAGUGAGCGAUUGAGUUACAUUUUUGUGUAAUUCACAAAGUUACUGCUUAUCUGAAUGC